rnacentral:ncRNA from 23 species
CUAUCAUCGAGAAAGGUGGAGGGACUGGCCCUGAGAAACCUUGGCAACCGUCAAUUCAUAAUGAAGUAUGAACGGUGCCAAUUCCAUCCCGGUAUAAAGGUCGGGAAAGAUGAUGG